rnacentral:rRNA from 1 species
GAUGACCGCUAGCGGGAGGCCUAACACAUGCAAGCCGAGCGGUAGAGAUCUUUCGGGAUCUUGAGAGCGGCGUACGGGUGCGGAACACGUGUGCAACCUGCCUUUAUCAGGGGGAUAGCCUUUCGAAAGGAAGAUUAAUACCCCAUAAUAUUUAGAAUGGCAUCAUUUUAAAUUGAUAACUCCGGUGGCUAGAGAUGGGUACGCGCAAGAUUAGAUAGUUGGUCGGGUAACUGCCUACCAAGUCUGCGAUCUUUAGGGGGCCUGAGAGGGUGAUCCCCCACACUGGUACUGAGACACGGACCAGACUCCUACGGGAGGCAGCAGUGAGGAAUAUUGGACAAUGGGUGCGAGCCUGAUCCAGCCAUCCCGCGUGAAGGAUGACGGCCCUAUGGGUUGUAAACUUCUUUUGUAUAGGGAUAAACCUAGAUACGUGUAUCUAGCUGAAGGUACUAUACGAAUAAGCACCGGCUAACUCCGUGCCAGCAGCCGCGGUAA